UAAAUACUCCCUCCGUCCCAAAAUUCUUGUCUUAGAUUUGUCUAGAUACGGAUGUAUCAAGUCACAUUUUAGUAUUAGAUACAUCCCUAUCUAGACAAAUCUAAGACAAGAAUUUUGGGACGGAGGGAGUACCAA
rnacentral:pre_miRNA from 1 species